UGUUAGUCCACCCAUUGUACAGCUGCAGAAUUUGUUGGCACUUUGUAAAUAAUAAAAUAAUAAUGAUCGAUGAUAGAUGGAUGGAUGGAUAGAUAGAUAUUGCACCGGGAGGGAAGGUAUACAAUAAAAAUAAGAGAAUGGAUGAGAACAGGAGAAGCUUGAUACAAGGCAUGCAAAUAGUGAUGUGAAACUUGAAUGUUUUAUUACCUGAGAUCUGAGAAGAUCUCAUUCUUGAAA